rnacentral:rRNA from 1 species
AUGGACACGGACGAGUUCUUCAACCCAGGCUGCGCCGGGACGGCCGGCGACGGCUGCGACUGCGGGGACUGCGAGGAGCGGAGGCACGACCACGGCCGCACCAAGCACUUCGUCCUCUUCGCCUCCGACAACAAAGAUUUUCUGUGCAUACCGUGGGAGGUCACAAGACAGCUGAGAAAUAUGAUCGCCCACUCUGAGCCUAUCAAACUUGAAACUCCUGAUGGCCAUGUGUACAGUGUUGAAUUCGUCAAGUUCGGCCUGAUAACUCUUACGACUGGGUGGCGGCACUUUGUGGAUGCUAAUCAUAUACGACAAGGUGACCCCAUCACGUUCGUCUACUGUGGGCGCUCCACGUUCAAGGUCCACUUCAAGGGCACUUCAUCCGGUCACAAGAAUUCUCUGCCCUCUUCUCAACAGCCUCCCAACAUCUUUAGAGCCAAACCUCCUCGUGAUCAUCACGUGCUGAAUGAACAAGUGGUGCCUGAUCCUGCACAUGUUCGGACGUCAACCGACUUUGGCUAUACCAUGUUCCCCGGGACCUGCCUAACCAAAGCACAAGAGAAGAAAGUGCUAGAGCUAGCUGAUAGCAGCAUGAGGUCUGAAAUUCCUCUGCAUGUGGCAGCUAUGAACAAAAGAAAUGCCAAUGAGGACUACUAUGUUUACAUACCAUUGGGGCUUUUGGACAAUUUCGAAGAGGGGAUAACUGCAACUACCAUUCAGCUCGAAGCCCAUGGCAACGGCAUGGUAUACUUUGUUGCCGCAAGCAAGCAACGUGACGAUCAAAUAAUCCUCGAAUCCGAGUUGAGUCAUUUUGUAGCUUCUCUCCGCAUACAAGACAAUGACCUCCUCGUCUUCAGAAGCAUGAGGAAAGAUCGCCUUGAAGUUUUUGUCCUUGACCCGAUCGGUUGUGAGAAAACUUGUUUUGCCAUGGGAAACUCUUCAAAUGCCCGAGAAGUGCGUGAAGAUCCGGUUGAGAUUGUUGAUCCACCCCAGCAUACUGUUAUUGAUUUGAGUUCUGAUGACGAUGAAGUCGUGGAAAAAGGCACGGCAACAUCAAGGGGGAAGCAGCGGCCACUACGAGGCUAUCGUGCAGAAGCUCAGAAGAUGGCUUCGACAUCCUCCCGUCGUACUAAGUCAGGACACAAAGCUGACAAGUCGAAGAAAGCCAGUCUAGAAGCUCCUAUGUCUAACAAGCCUUACAUAUCAACCAGUGGGACGAAGCUAACUAGGCGACAAGAGGAGAAAGUAGAGGAGAAAGUCCAGGCAAUUGGAUCUGAAUUCCCUGUGUUUGUGAAGGUGAUGAAUGAACGUGAUGUUUGGAGCCCAAAACGUCUGAGCUUCAGCCUGGAAUAUGCUUCGGCGUGUCGUCUCCCGCUUGAACAAACACAUGUCAUACUUGGGCUGGAGGGUAGCAACAUGAAGUGGUCUAGCAGGAUGGUGGCCCAGAAACAUAAGGAUGUGAGGCAUAUUAGCUCAUUUUGGAAGGACCUUGUCUUGCUGGCCGGGAUGAAGGUAGGAGACAUCUGCCUCGUUGAACUGGCAGACAGGAGCAGCGAGAGCCUCACGAUGACGGUCCAUCUGAUCCGCAAGCUCUAG